rnacentral:rRNA from 1 species
CGAUGGUUGUCGUCAGCUCGUGUCGUGAGAUGUUGGUUAAGUCCGCAACGAGCGCAACCCUUGUGUUUAGUUGCCAACAGGUAAAGCUGUGCACUCUAAACAGACUGCCGUGGAUAACACGGAGGAAGGUGGGGAUGACGUCAAAUCAUCAUGCCCCUUAUGAUCUGGGCUACACACGUGCUACAAUGGUCGGUACAACGGGCAGCGAAAGAGUAAUCUGGAGCGAAUCCUAAAAAGCCGAUCCCAGUUCGGAUUGUGGGCUGAAACUCGCCCACAUGAAGUUGGAGUUGCUAGUAAUCGCGAAUCAGAAUGUCGCGGUGAAUGCGUUCCCGGGUCUU